GAUGAACGCUGGCGGCGUGCUUAACACAUGCAAGUCGAACGGAAAGGCACCUGCUUCCUGGGCUACUCGAGUGGCGAACGGGUGAGUAACACGUGUGUGAUCUGCCCUGCUCUUUGGGAUAAGCCUGGGUAACUGGGCCUACUCCCGUACAGGACACUGCCUACGAUGCCAUUGUGGGAAGCUUUGCGGUUUGGGCUGAUCUCGCGGCCUAUCUGCUUGUUGGUGGGGGACUGGGUUAACAACGCGCCGGCGGGUGACCGGCCUGGGAUGGGGUACGGGGACAUUGGGCCUGAGGGAGGGCGCAGAGUCCAACAGGAGGCAGCAGGGGGGAGUAUUACACAGUGAGCGCAAGCCUGAUGCAGCGGCGCCGCGUGGGGGAUGACGGCCUUCGGGUAGUAAACUGCUUUCGCUAGGGACGAAGCGCAAGUGACGGUACCUGGAGAAGAAGCACCGGCUAACUACGUG
rnacentral:rRNA from 1 species